UUUAAGUGCAACCAUAAGUUUUCGUACUCAACUUUGAUUAUCUGUCUUAUUUGAUUUUUUUAUAAUUAGUAUUUUUAUUGUGAGAUGAUAAAACAUGAAUAGUACUUAUACGUGACUUUUGUUUUUUACUUUUUUAAAAAACUUUUUAAAUAAAAUGGACGAUCAAAGUUGUGCAUGGAAAAUUAUGGCUGCAGUUAAA
rfam:Oryza nivara chromosome 7, whole genome shotgun sequence.